GAAAUGCGAUAAGUAGUGUGAAUUGCAGAAUUCAGUGAAUCAUCGAAGCUUUGAACGCACAUUGCGCCCUUUGGUAUUCCUUAGGGCAUGCCUGUUCGAGCGUCAUCUAAACCUUCAAGCCCUGCUUGGUGUUGGGUGCCUGUCCCGCCUCCGCGCGCGGACUCACCUCAAAUCCAUUGGCGGCCCCCGCGUCGGCCACGAGCGCAGCAGAAACGCGAACUCGUGAGCCCGUCCGGGCGGCUCCCAGAAGCUACACCCACCCAGUUUGACCUCGGAUCAGGUAGGGAUACCCGCUGAACUUAAGC
rnacentral:misc_RNA from 1 species